AUCUGCAGCCAUAUCACCCUGCAACUCCCAGCUGGCAGCCCACUGAAGCUAAGCAGGUGUGAGCCUGGUCAGUACCUGGAGGGGGAGACUCCUGGGAAAGCUGAGGCUGCUCCUG
rnacentral:rRNA from 1 species